CUUCCUCCCGGUCAGCUGAUCCGAGGUGGACGGCGUUCCGCGUGUCGGCCAAUUUUCUUGUAAUCCAGGACGACACAGACGGCCAUGGAUGGAAGCAAGAUGCUGGACUUUGUGGACCCUGGCGGCCAUGAGGAGGUGUCCGUGGGCGCUGGGCAAGGCCGAGAGCGAGGAGUACAGCACACUGGAUGAGGGGGACCAUGGAUGGUGCAGGGCUCUCAGGAGAUGGACAAGCAGAAACAGGGGACCAAAACUCACAGGUAUUCUUCAUUGAGUGUGUGAGUGCUGCUGUCGUCACCAUGAACACCUGCUUGGAGGCACCAAGACCCGUCAAGCCAGUCCGCCCUGCAAGACUGCCUGGUCAAGAUGGGGUCCAGCCUUGCACAGAACUGCUUGGCUGGCCAGUGCCACAAGUUGGUGGUGACAAAGUAAAGCCCUCCAUGACUGCUACAGCCUGAUGGAUGGAUCUCAUGGUAGGGUAUGAUGGGCUGAGAGAGAAGGAUGAUGAUGUAGCAAGGUGUGUGGUGACCCAGGCUGUGGAGGGUGGCUGCCACACUCACUGCUCCAGCCACUCACAGCUGUACCUCAGGAGCCAGACACCAUCUGCUUCACUCCUGCCCAGACUUUGCCACUCACACCCAACAGCUGCUUCAUCUUAAGGGUUGUGAGCCCCAUGCUAUUGAGUCUCUCCUCGUAAGUCCGAUCCCUAAGUUCCGGUACCAUCUUAGUUGCCAUUCUCUGUACUCUUUCCAGCUUUUUUAUAUUCUUCUUUUCGUGAGGAGACCAGACCACUGCUGCAUACUCCAACCUUGGCCUUAUCAUUGUAACUAUUAAUUUCUUCAUCAUCUCCUCGUCCAAAUACACAAAUGCCGUCCUUAUGUUCCUCAGCAAAUUCAUAGUUUGUCCCGUUAUCCUGUUGAUGUGUUUGUCCGGUGACAUGUUCUCUGAGACAGUCACUCCCAAAUCUUUUUCUUCCACUCCUCUGCAUAUUAUCUCACUUCCCAUCUUAUAAUCAUAUUCACAUCUACUGCUCCUCCCAAACUCUAUUUUUUUUACAUUUCCCAAGGUUGAAUUCCAUCUGCCAUGUACCACUCCACUCCCAUAUUUUGUCCAGGUCCCUCUGCAAUGCCUCACAGUCCUUCACAUCAUUGACUCAUCUCAAUAGCUUUGCAUCAUCUGCAAACAAACUCACAUGGCUGGUCACUCCGUCCACCAUAUCAUUUAUAUAAACAGCAAACAUUAUUGGUGCCAGCACCGAACCUUGUGGGACCCCACUCCUCACUGGGCACCAGUUGGAAUCCC